rnacentral:rRNA from 1 species
UACGUAGGGCGCAAGCGUUGUCCGGAAUUAUUGGGCGUAAAGGGCGCGUAGGCGGCCUGGCAAGUGGAUGGUGAAAUCCCUCGGCUUAACCGAGGAACUGCCAUCCAGACUGCUUGGCUUGAGACCGGGAGAGGUGAGUGGAAUUCCCGGUGUAGCAGUGAAAUGCGUAGAGAUCGGGAGGAACAUCAGUUGCGAAGGCGGCUCUCUGGACCAGCACUGACACUGAGGCACGAAAGCGUGGGGAGCAAACAGG